rnacentral:rRNA from 1 species
AUUGAACGCUGGCGGAAUGCUUUACACAUGCAAGUCGAGCGGCAGCACGGGGGCAACCCUGGUGGCGAGCGGCGAACGGGUGAGUAAUACAUCGGAACAUGCCCAGUCGUGGGGGAUAACACUUCGAAAGAAGUGCUAGUACCGCAUACGUCCUGAGGGGGAAAGCGGGGGAUCGCAAGACCUCGCGCGAUUGGAGUGGCCGAUGUCAGAUUAGCUAGUUGGUGGGGUAAAGGCCUACCAAGGCAACGAUCUGUAGCUGGUCUGAGAGGAUGAUCAGCCACACUGGGACUGAGACACGGCCCAGACUCCUACGGGAGGCAGCAGUGGGGAAUUUUGGACAAUGGGGGCAACCCUGAUCCAGCCAUUCCGCGUGAGUGAAGAAGGCCUUCGGGUUGUAAAGCUCUUUCGGCAGGAACGAAACGGUGAGCUCUAACAUAGCUUGCUAAUGACGGUACCUGAAGAAGAAGCACCGGCUAACUACGUG